CUUGAAAUCACUUUCAGGCUGAAAAAUUUGUUGCUUCGCUUUUGGUUUUUGUGCGUGUGCUGCAGAAAAUUUCAGAUUUCACGCAGAUUGGGUUUAUGGCUUGGCUAAUGCUGGACCCAUCACGUAUACGCAGUGUUGACAAUGGCAGACCAAGUGGAUAUUUUCCCGCCUAUUUACUAAAAUGUUGAAGUUCCACAGGACAUGGUUUCUUUUCACAAGUCAGGAGGCAGGACAUGCAUGCAAAAUGAUUUUCGUUUGACUGUAAUUUAUAGGCACCCGGUCUGCUGCACUCGUUGCUCACCAUUCAACCUCUCCAGUAACUCCCCCAUGCAGAACCCCCAGAACUACCAUAAAAUACCCCCCUAAAGCUCCCAUUUAACCAUCAUCCCUGGCAUCCUGGCCAGCUGCUGCAUCAUCAUAUCCCAUCCCAUUCUACGGAUGCCUUUUGUUGACUUUACGGCUAUGCAAAGUCUGGCAUAUUUAUAGAUUGAGUGGCAGCGUGGGCGAACAGUGGGCGGACAGUGGGAGUGGCAUUAG